UAAGGAUUAUUGAAGCUUGUGCAACAAGAACUUUGUUCUUCAUAACUCAUCCCCUGUUACUUGCUUAUGCAAUGAAGCAUUAUAAUUUGCAGAGAGUUGCUUCAGAGGACUUAUGACUUCACUGCCUGUACAAAGAAGAGGACAAAGACAAGUCAAGAGGAAGGAAAACAUUUACAACUUAAUGAGAAGACUGGCAUUUCAGGCCAUAGAACACUACCACUGAAGUCAGCAAUUUGCUUUACUAAGGCUCAUGGUAUUAUUCAACCUUCUACAACAACGGGAAUGAAUUAAAUAUUAAAGCAUAAGAAACAGAUUGAAAAGAAAAGAUUUGCAGAGAAUACAAAUGAUGAGCAUCUCUCACAAUAAAGAAAAGGAAAAGGAAAAAAAUGGAAAGGUAUUCACAAAUGAUAAAACUUUAUCAUUUCAGGUUGAAGAGAAACACAAAUAUACAUUCAUAUUUGAAAAUCAUUUUGGAAUUCAAUCAACAUGGACUUUUUGAUGGCAUCACAAAACUGAGCACAGUUGUUGGUGUCCUCCAAGCUACAUUUACAGAGCCAAGUACAGAUAUUCAAGCAGAGCUAUAAAUAUUAAUCUGAACUAGACAUGAAGGAUAUCCACUAACAGAUUCAACAAACUAAUGUAGAUUUAUUACUUGUUUUUGUAGUCAACUGUACUAAUUUAAUUACUUAUAUUGUAAGUACGGGGACAUGUAAUAAUUUAAAAUAAUCCACAUACUGUGCCUGUGCCUUUUACUGCCAAGUGGCCAUUAAUAAAUGCUACCUCUUGGGUG